rnacentral:rRNA from 1 species
GAUGAACGCUGGCGGCGUGCCUAAUACAUGCCAGUCGAGCGAACAGAUGAGGAGCUUGCUCCUCUGACGUUAGCGGCGGACGGGUGAGUAACACGUGGAUAACCUACCUAUAAGACUGGGAUAACUUCGGGAAACCGGAGCUAAUACCGGAUAAUAUAUUGAACCGCAUGGUUCAAUAGUGAAAGACGGUUUUGCUGUCACUUAUAGAUGGAUCCGCGCCGCAUUAGCUAGUUGGUAAGGUAACGGCUUACCAAGGCAACGAUGCGUAGCCGACCUGAGAGGGUGAUGGGCCACACUAGAACUGAGACAGGGUCAAGACUCCUAGGGGCGGCGAAGGUAGGAAUUCUCCCGAAAGGGGAGAAACUUUGCGGGACCAGCGCCGCGUGGGUAAUAAAGGUUUUCGAAUCGAAAAACUGUUUUAUGGGGAAAGAAAAAAUGUUAAAGUAUAUAUGCCCGUCUGGAGGUUCCCUAAUAAGAAGACCACGGCAAAUUCGGUC